CACGUAGUUAGCCGGUGCUUCUUCUGCAGGUACCGUCACUCUCGCUUCGUCCCUGCUGAAAGAGGUUUACAACCCGAAGGCCUUCAUCCCUCACGCGGCGUCGCUGCGUCAGGCUUUCGCCCAUUGCGCAAGAUUCCCCACUGCUGCCUCCCGUAGGAGUCUGGGCCGUGUCUCAGUCCCAGUGUGGCCGGUCGCCCUCUCAGGCCGGCUACCCGUCACCGCCUUGGUAGGCCAUCACCCCACCAACUAGCUGAUAGGCCGCGGGCCCAUCCCGCACCGCCGGAGCUUUCCACCCCCCGACCAUGCGGCAGGAAGUCCUAUCCGGUAUUAGCCCCGGUUUCCCGGGGUUAUCCCAGAGUGCAGGGCAGGUUACCCACGUGUUACUCACCCGUUCGUCGCUCGUGUACCCCGAAGGGCCUUACCGCUCGACUUGCAUGUGUUAGGCACGCCGCCAGCGUGUCCUCGUGCCACGGAGUCAAACUAC
rnacentral:rRNA from 1 species